CUCUCUCACAAUAUCAAAUUACUCUUUUGUUCUAAGGUUCUAAUCAACAGAUUCAACACGGAGCCCUCAUAUUCAACACAGGGUUCUGAUUUUAUAUAAUUAUGUUGUAAAUCUUUCUCUCUGGCUUUGUUGUUCUUGUUCGAAGCUUGAAUCUCUCUCUCAUUGUGGUUGAUUCUUCGUUUUUGCAUUUGAAUUCAAGUAUCUGAUGAUUCAAAGGCCUAAUUCAUUUCUGAGGAAAUGGAGCUAGUGUCCUUCGGAUUGUUCCCUAUGCAGCAUUACAUUUCAUCAUGAAAUAUGAGCAGUAUCACAUUUGGAUCUUGAACAAUUACUCUGCCUUGGGAACGGGCCCCAUGAUAGAAUGGUGAAUGGGUUGAUCAUGUCACUUUGCAGGCUGCUGCAGAUUCUACGAAGUUAUUUCAGAAAAAUAUAUCUUGGAAUAUGGAAUGGAUUGUCUAGAGAUGCAUGUUGGAGCAGUUGAGCCUGAUGAACGUGCUUUGGUGGUUGAUGAUUUGAUUGCCACUGGUGGAACCCUCUGUGCAGCAAUGAAUUUACUGGAACGUGCAGGGGCUGAAGUUGUUGAAUGCGCAUGUGUAGUUGAAUUACUAGAUUUAAAGGGGAUGAAGAGUCAAUGUGAUGAGAAAAUGUUCGAUUUUGUCUUUUGUAAGACAAGAACAGUCUCUACAAAAAUAGUAAGUUUAUUCAUAUCAUUCUAGCGGUUUCUGAAUUAAUUUGUGUUUUUAUUUUUCAGGUUAGAAAUUUCUUGGAGACAUGAAA